rnacentral:rRNA from 1 species
UGCACAUCCUAUUGCCUUAUUCAACUUACUGUACUUAAGUAAAUUUACUAAUAAAUCCACCUUCACCUGAGUUUUAAGCCUAAAAUCCGUAUUUCUAUUAAAAAUUGUAGCUCAUCACUGCCCUUUUAUAAA